rnacentral:rRNA from 1 species
AUGGGAUGGGCAUGGGCAGCCCUCCGGUCCGGAGCUCCAAGGUGGCGCGCCCAAAAUUCAUCGUCCUCGUCCGGCCGGGCCGGCUCGAUCGGCCUCAUCAUUCGGUGGCGGCCAUAUUCGACCGCUCCCAGUCCCAGCCACGGCGGGGAGGAGGAUGGGGAUGAGGCCAGGCAAGAGAUGCUGAACAGAUGGGCACACCGCGCCGCACAGACAACUUUCAGGGACUACCUCCAUGCCAAGCGCGGCUUGUGCCUCACUGACGCCAAGCAUAUCAGCGAGCGAUCGCCCGUCUUCCUCAGCGAGCUGCUGGAGAAGGUGAACAAGGCGGUGAUGAAGGCUGCUGAUCAGGGUGGGGAGGGGGCGAGAUUCAGGUCGAAAGUGAAGAAGAGGGUCAGCAGGGCGCUGGUGCGAUUGCUCCACCGGCGCCCUGUCAACGAGUUCAGGCCCUUCUUUGAGAGCAUCGGCAUCAAGCCGAGCGAGUGCGAUUCCCUCUUGCCGCAGGAUCUCACAUUCCUCAUGGAUGCCGGGGUGCUGCUCGAGAGCUACCGUGCACUAUGCAGUUAUGGCAUUGCGCAUGACAAGAUUGGAAAGAUAUACCAGAAGGCGGCGGAGGUGUUUAGUCUUGGCCAGGGCGUUCUUGAGUCUAAGCUCGAGGCCCUUGAGGGUCUAGGCUUCAGUAAGGCCAGUGUUACCAAAAUAGUGAUCUCUACUCCUACCGUAUUGGUUCAUGACCCGGCUGUGGAACUGAAGACGAUCUUGCAGUGGCUAGACGACAUUGGGAUUCAGCGAGACUGGAUCGGCCAGUUCUUCACUGAAUAUCAGUCCUAUAAUUGGCAAAAGAUCGUCGAAGCUCUUCAGUUCUUGAGUGAUUUGGGGUUCACCAAGGAUGAUAUUGGUAAAGCGGUGAGGAAUCAUCCAGAUUUGUUGUUGGAAUGGUCUGGUGAGAUGCUAUGA